UAGGGAAUCUUCGGCAAUGGACGAAAGUCUGACCGAGCAACGCCGCGUGAGUGAAGAAGGUUUUCGGAUCGUAAAACUCUGUUGUUAGAGAAGAACAAGGACGUUAGUAACUGAACGUCCCCUGACGGUAUCUAACCAGAAAGCCACGGCUAACUACGUGCCAGCAGCCGCGGUAAUACGUAGGUGGCAAGCGUUGUCCGGAUUUAUUGGGCGUAAAGCGAGCGCAGGCGGUUUCUUAAGUCUGAUGUGAAAGCCCCCGGCUCAACCGGGGAGGGUCAUUGGAAACUGGGAGACUUGAGUGCAGAAGAGGAGAGUGGAAGUCCAUGUGGAGCGGUGAAAUGCGUAGAUAUAUGGAGGAACACCAGUGGCGAAGGCGGCUCUCUGGUCUGUAACUGACGCUGAGGCUCGAAAGCGUGGGGAGCAAACAGG
rnacentral:rRNA from 1 species